rnacentral:rRNA from 1 species
CCUACGGUGUGCAGCAGUGAGGAAUAUUGGUCAAUGGACGAGAGUCUGAACCAGCCAAGUAGCGUGAAGGAUGACUGCCCUAUGGGUUGUAAACUUCUUUUAUAUGGGAGUAAAAUGUUCCACGUGUGGGAUUUUGUAUGUACCAUAUGAAUAAGGAUCCGCUAACUCCGUGCCAGCAGCCGCGGUAAUACGGAGGAUCCGAGCGUUAUCCGGAUUUAUUGGGUUUAAAGGGAGCGUAGGUGGAUUGUUAAGUCCGUUGUGAAAGUUUGCGGCUCAACCGUAAAAUUGCAGUUGAAACUGGCAGUCUUGAGUACAGUAGAGGUGGGCGGAAUGCGUGGUGUAGCGGUGAAAUGCGUAGAUAUCACGAAGAACUCCGAUUGCGAAGGCAGCUCACUGGACUGCAACUGACACUGAGGCUCGAAAGUGUGGGUAGCAAACAGGAUUAGAUACCCUGGUAGUC